AUGGUGCAUCUAGCCGUUCAUUUACCAGAUGAGGCAAUUCUUAGAGGCCCGGUGCAGUACGGAUGGAUGUAUCCAAUUGAGAGAAGGCUACUUACUUGUAAGCGUUAUGUGAGGAACAUGGCCAGACCUGAAGGAUCGAUUGCAGAAGCAUAUGUUGUUGAUGAGUGCCUAACAUUUUGCUCGAGGUACUUGGACGAUGUGGAAACAAGAUUUAAUCGGGAGGGCAGAAAUAGAGAGUGCGCUGAUCUGCAAGCUUUUGAUUUGUCGGUUUUCAACCACGGUGUGAAUUUACUUGGAGGUUCGAGAAAGAAAUAUGCUGGGGAUGAUUAUGACAAGAUGGUUUGGUAUGUUCUCAAUAAUUGUAUUGAGGUUCAGCCAUAUCUCCAACUAUGCAAGGAAGAAUUGCGGCAGGAAGAUAGUCAUAAUGUUGAUGAAAGGCUUGAGAAAGGAUUUGCCAGAUGGUUUCAGAAUCAUGUGACUUCUUUGCGUGUGGAGAAGAGAGAAGAGGUAAGUGAUGAUCUCUAUGCUUUCGCAUGUGGACCAGCUUCUGGAGUCUUAUCAUAUUCAACAUGUGUUGUUGAGGGUGUCCGGUACCACACAACGGACCGUGAGAAGAAUAAUAAGGCGCAAAACAGUGGAGUCAUGGUUGAGGGAACCAAUGAUAGUGAAGUCAAUGAUGAUGGAGAAGAGGAGAUCAUUGACUUCUAUGGUCAACUGAAAGAAAUCAUCAAGUUGCAGUAUAACUCUACCCAAGGUGUCAAUCGUUCAGUCGUCUUAUUACGUUGUGAUUGGUUUGAUCUGGAUGCCAAAAAGAUAGGACUUAAAGAUGAUGGACAUUUCAAAAGCAUCAAUAUUGGAAAAUGUUGGUAUAAAAAUGAUCCUUUUAUUCUGGCAACACAGUCAACAAAGGUGUUUUAUUUACAAGACACAAAGUAUGGUGGAGAUUGGAGAGUUGUGUAG
rnacentral:rRNA from 1 species